GGCGGUCGUGCAUGCCUAUAGUCCCAGCUACUCGAGAGGCUGAGGUGGGAGGAUUGCUUGAGCACGGGAGUUCUGGGCUGUAUGCGCUAUGCUGACUGGCUGUCCGCACCAAGUUUGGCAUCAAUAUGGUGACCUCCCAGGAGCUGGGGACCAUCAGGUUGCCUAAGGAGGGGUGAACCGGCCCAGGUCAGAAAUGGAGCAGGUCAAAACUCCCGUGCUGAUGAGUAGUGGGAUCACGCCUGUGAAGAGCCACUGCACUCCAGCCUGGGCAACACAGCGAGACCCUCAUCUCU
rnacentral:SRP_RNA from 1 species